UACGUAGGGUGCGAGCGUUAAUCGGAAUUACUGGGCGUAAAGGGUGCGUAGGUGGCGCUGUAAGUCGGGUGUGAAAUCCUGAGGCUUAACCUCGGAACUGCAUUCGAUACUGCGGCGCUUGAGGACUGGAGAGGAGACUGGAAUUCAUGGUGUAGCAGUGAAAUGCGUAGAGAUCAUGAGGAAGACCAGUGGCGAAGGCGGGUCUCUGGACAGUUCCUGACACUGAGGCACGAAGGCCAGGGGAGCAAACGGG
rnacentral:rRNA from 1 species